rnacentral:rRNA from 1 species
GAUGAACGCUGACAGAAUGCUUAACACAUGCAAGUCAACUUGAACUUCGGUUUGGGUGGCGGACGGGUGAGUAACGCGUAAAGAACUUGCCUCACAGCUAGGGACAACAUUUGGAAACGAAUGCUAAUACCUGAUAUUAUGAUUUUAGGGCAUCCUAGAAUUAUGAAAGCUAUAUGCGCUGUGAGAGAGCUUUGCGUCCCAUUAGCUAGUUGGAGAGGUAACGGCUCACCAAGGCGAUGAUGGGUAGCCGGCCUGAGAGGGUGAACGGCCACAAGGGGAAUGAGACACGGCCCUUACUCCUACGGGAGGCAGCAGGGGGGAAUAUUGGACAAUGGACCAAGAGUCUGAUCAAGCAAUUCUGUGUGCACGAUGAAGUUUUUCGGAAUGUAAAGUGCUUUCAGUUGAGAAGAAAAAAAUGACGGUACAAACAGAAGAAGUGACGGCUAAAUACGUG